CGCUCGCGUCCCUGCCUUCUCCGCCCUCGCGCCCCUGCCUCCUGCGCCGCCGCCCACCACCCCCCUGCCCUGCCUCAGCCUCCUCCGCUGCCAUGCCGCUCGCCCGCUCCUUCGUCCCCGCGCCCCUAUCUCGCGACGCCCCCACAUUGCCUCCGAUUCGACCGCGCGACCGCGCUCCUCCCCGUCCACACCGCCGCUUCCCCCUUCCCCGUCCGUGCCGUCCUCCUGCGCCGCCGCCCCUCCGCGCGGCCGCGCCCCAUCCACCGCCUGCGCCGCGUCCCCCCUCCAAAUUUGCCACCCCAUCCAUCCACCCGCCCCCUUCCAGGCGACCAUAUGCCCUCCCAGUCCCCAUCACUCCACAUCCGCACGCGCUUCCAGCCUCCUCCAAACCCUCGGCCAACCGCCUCCACCACCUUCAUCUCCAUGGUGAGACAACGGCCGGUCGUGACCCUGCAAAGGAGGUAGCGCCUGCGACACCGGCAAUAGUCCUCCGCCUCAUCGUCGUCUCUACGUGCGCGAGAGAUGCCGGCAGCAGCAACAUCUCGUGCAAUCGUGACCGAUCGUGAAGGAGCUGGUGCAGGAUAGAGGUCGCGUGCCUCCGCAUAAUCCAUGCCUGGAUGACCUUGCCCCACGCAUCGUCCUCUCUGGUGCUGGCCUUUCCUUGGCAAUUGGCAUGAGGCGCCGACCGUGGCUUAUGAUCCGUAUCACAGUGUCCAGGGCAUGAAGACCUAUCUGUUCCAUCAGAUGAGAUUAGAAUGUCUGUAUUUUGUUCAUUGGAAGGUCAAGUUUUGAUAUUAGAAAUCGUGAGUGCAACGGUGUGCAAAAAAAAAAGUUCCUAACUUGUUUCGUGUAAUCUGAAUCAAGUUUGGAUUUAGGGAUAAAGACUGUUUCUGGACCU